GCGUCAUUCUAUCUAUCUUCGCACUAUCCCGUCGCACAGGGCUCUCGCCCGAGCGCUCUGCCACCUCACCUCGCCCAUUCACCUCACACGUUCUCCCUCUAUGCGCCCCACAGAUUGUUUUGGACGCCCACUGCACUCUUUCUCAGCCUUGCUUUCGCUCUUGAGCUCUCACUUCUGCCGCUGGUGCGUCGUCAACCACACCGGCACAGUUUCUGCACAGUGACGAAAAGCCUCACAAGCCGGGGGAGCGAAAAAGGGCGCUCGCGCUUAACGACUGUGUCAACUGGACAACUUCUCGGCGCGUCCCCCCCCCGCUAAAGGCGAGAAGCUGGUAACAUUCUUUGUGUGUGUUUCUAUUCUGUUAGCUGAAGGGGCGACCUUAAUGGAGGCCAUAUCGACUGGCGGAUGGGAAAGUGGCAACAACAAAACUUCUAGCGAGCACGUGCUUGAAAUGCGAGUGAAAACGCCCGCCGCUCUGUGCUGUGACGUUCUCUCCCUUUCUGUCCUCAAGGCCGCAAGGGCCGCUCUGCUUUCCCUCUCUUUUUUUUUGUUCAAUCUGUGCUGGUCCUGCCCACCGUACCGCACUCCGCACGCCCUGUGUUGGAGGCGGGCCUCUAACCUAUGGCUUCGUGAGUGUAUUUCCCCAGAAAACGAAGAAAGGGUGCUACAGGUUUAUAUGCACGUGUGCGUUACGCCAAAACAUCCGGGGUAUCUCCACGGGCAUCCACUUGAGGCGGCAUCUCCCAGCUGGGGUGGAUGCGGUGGGCGCCCCUCCCCCGGCCCUGAGAAAUCGUUUGCCCCCCCCCCCUCCAUCCCCCGCACAAACUCUCACUACACUUUUAUCUCCCUUUCACCAUUUCCGCGGAGGCGCUUCUUCACACGAACGCUGGUAAAAACACCCAUCCUCUCGUUGGAGGCAG
rnacentral:misc_RNA from 1 species